UUCCCAUCGCCUAUAGAACUCUGGGCUUCAUCCUGCUUCAGAUUCACCUGAUGAACCAAUGAACCUUCAACAGGGGUGUUUUUAAUCCAGAUAAUACCACAGGAAGUUCAGUGAUUCACAGGUGGAGGAAUCUCGCCGUCUGUGAACUGCUGUGAUUUUAUUUAAAGCUACGACGCACCGAAGUGAAACUUUUCCUGUGUUGUUGUUUUUUUCCUCAAAGCAUUAAACAGAGAUCAGGCCCUGGGCUUCGAGGAUACAACCUGAAGACCGUCAGAGACUCGAACCUGAAGCUGCUCCACAAGUGGCUUUUUGCUGACUCCAAAACCAAAACUCACAAAUACAGACUCUAAUUUCCCGACUCCUGAUUCCCAAAUAAUGAAUCUCGAUUCGUGAAUCCUGAAUUGUGACUUCUGUCUCCUGAAUCCUGAAUACGGACUCCAAAUCCAGACUCCUGAUUCCUGACUACUGAAUCCUGACAUCUGCCUCCUAAAUCCAACUUCCAAAUCUUGACUAUCUAAAGAGAUGAGAGAUGAUGUGAUAAGAGGAGAUGAGACGUGAUUAAGGGGUGAUGAGACGUGAUGAGACGAGAGAAAAGGAGACAUAGUGAGAGACUGCUUCACCCCCGGGGGGCGUCACAGCAAAGGUGUACAAACAGGUGAUUGGCACCUGCUGCCCUCCGGAUGGAUAGUGAGACCAUCCAGACGUGUUCCUUUACUCGUUCUACACUUUAUUUACAUUUAAAGGCUAAAUGCAAUUUACACUUCAGAUGAAAGAACAGAUUAGUUCUGGUUUAUUUUUGACUCCAAUGAACCCAAAGUUCUUCAUGUAUUUGGUCACUGCUACACUGUUAUAAACCUCUUCUUCAUUACGAUCAUCACUGCCCUCCUCAUCUGUUUCUCACAGCAGUGUGUCAUUAGCAGUCCGUCUGUGUGGAGGUGCUGAUCGCUGUGUGCUCAGGAUCUCCUCAGGUUCAUGAAGACUCUCAGAGGAUGUUUUUUUCUUUCUUCUCUGUCAGUGAGGUCACCGCUCAGAGAGAAGAAAGAGCAGCGUGUCGAGAAUAAAACAUCUCACAAUCUUUCAGAGGAUUCAGGAAGUGCUGAGCUGCAUACCUAAUGCUAAUGCUAGUCUAAAAAAAACAAACAAACCCCAGAUAUCAUGGUUUAUAAAGAUGAAGAUUAUCUCUGCCUUGUCGUUGCAACACACACACACACACACACACACACACACACACACUGCUCCACACUGGACUUCCUGUUCACUCAAGCUUGUUCUGGACACUUGGUUCUUGAAGGAAUGUGAACUUUUUCCAGUUGCGUUUAUCAAACAUUAAGCUUUUAAACUUCUCCUUUCGGUUUGCAAUGUGAAUAGUGAGACGAAGCUUGGUGCAAUUUUUGGUUAAAUUUUUCUUAACUGAAGAUUGGUGUAACCAAUCAGAUCACAGAUCCUACUGCAUGGUCCUACUGCACCAAGCU